GUAAAACACAGCAGAGCCUUUUCCGAACUCCUUUUCUAGUUCCGCUGCGGAGUUUUGACCGUUUGAAGUUGUCUAAAUUUGGAUUUCGUGGUGGACAUUUAUCCUCGACGAUCUUGGCGCAAUGAUUCUCAGUGGCUACAGGACAAGUCUGAUGGUCAAAAGCAAAAAGGAAAAUCAGUUUCAAAAUGGAACCAGUCGGGAAAUGCAACAGAACAGGUUGUUCUCGUAAACACGGUUCUGGCUCCACUAACCACGUGCUGCCAUUACUUGCCCAGGCCAUUGCAUGAGUCAAGGCAAUGCCCACUCUGGAUUUAUCGCUUGAAAAAUAAAAUUGAACGUUUACUCGUCUACUGUAUCUUUAACAAAUAAUAUCAACUGGCAUUGCUAUUCACAUACUCGGACGGAUAACAGAGUUCUUUAUUUAUUUCUAAAUUUUUGAAUUCCUCUGGAGGGAAUUCGGGCAAUCCUAUAUUUGCGAAGCUCUUAUUCGACAUGCAUAAUGUCACUAAUCUCACUCCAGUUUUCUUUACAGGAUAUUCCUUCUGCAAUAUAAAACACACAUGGUAACAUCUUUCAAUUAAAUUUUCUGUUCGUUAAAAAAAAGAAGACAAUUCUCAUGAAUAACUGCGAGAGAACGCAUCGUUUCCACGACGGGUUCGUGGCCACAAUAUACAGGUUCAGGAGCCUCUGGGAAUCCGACCAGACCCAAAAUACUUGCACAGCUGACGAUAAUACCACCUCGACCACCGUUUUCUUUUCCAAUGUGUUUUACGCCCGUGUGAACCACUGUCAUGGUAUUAUUCUAUAAACAGGACACAGUUGCUGAGUUAUCACACGAUAUUUGAGGAUGCGACUUGACUGGUAUCGUAUCAAAAUCGCUCAAGAGGAUAUCAACGGCUUUGUAUUUACAUAAUGUGUCGCAGAAGAUACCUGAAUGAAAAACC